rnacentral:ncRNA from 3 species
CAGACCUCUAAUCGGAAAAGACUACCCGCUGAGUUUAAGCAUAUCACUAAGCGGAGGAGAA